rnacentral:rRNA from 1 species
GUGGAUUAGAUACCCUGGUAGUCCACGCCCUAAACGAUGAUGACUAGUUGUUGGGGGAGUUAAAUCCCUUAGUAACGCAGCUAACGCGUGAAGUCAUCCGCCUGGGGAGUACGGUCGCAAGAUUAAAACUCAAAGGAAUUGACGGGGGCCCGCACAAGCGGUGGAUGAUGUGGUUUAAUUCGAUGCAACGCGAAAAACCUUACCUACCCUUGACAUGCUAGGAAUCCUGCAGAAAUGCAGGAGUGCCCGAAAGGGAACCUAGACACAGGUGCUGCACGGCCGUCGUCAACU